rnacentral:rRNA from 1 species
GAUGAACGCUAGCUACAGGCUUAACACAAGCAAGUCGAGGGGAAACGCCAUCGAAAGCUUGCUUUUGAUGGGCGUCGACCGGCGCACGGGUGAGUAACGCGUAUCCAACCUGCCCAUCACUUGGGAAUAACCUUGCGAAAGUAAGACUAAUACCCAAUGACAUCCCACGAAGACAUCUGAAUGGGAUUAAAGAUUUAUCGGUGAUGGAUGGGGAUGCGUCUGAUUAGCUUGUUGGCGGGGUAACGGCCCACCAAGGCAACGAUCAGUAGGGGUUCUGAGAGGAAGGUCCCCCACAUUGGAACUGAGACACGGUCCAAACUCCUACGGGAGGCAGCAGUGAGGAAUAUUGGUCAAUGGGCGAGAGCCUGAACCAGCCAAGUAGCGUGCAGGAUGACGGCCCUAUGGGUUGUAAACUGCUUUUAUAAGGGAAUAAAGUGGGUCUCGGGAGACUUUUUGCAUGUACCUUAUGAAUAAGGACCGGCUAAUUCCGUG